rnacentral:rRNA from 1 species
GUCUACGGCCAUACCACCCUGAACGCGCCCGAUCUCGUCUGAUCUCGGAAGCUAAGCAGGGUCAGGCCUGGUGGUACUUGGAUGGAGGCACUGGGAAUACCAGGUGCUGGGCU